rnacentral:rRNA from 1 species
UACAGAGGGUGCAAGCGUUAUCCGGAUUUAUUGGGCGUAAAGCGUUUCGUAGGCUGAUUUAAAAGUUACUCUUCAAAGACUACGGCUCAACCGGAGGAAGGGGAGUAAUACUGUGAGUCUUGAAAUAUGGUGGGGCUUCUGGAACUGAUGGUGUAGUAGUGAAAUACGUUGAUAUCAUCAGGAACUCCAAGGGCGAAGGCAGGAAGCUAACCAUUUUUUGACGCUGAGGAACGACAGCUAGGGGAGCGAAAGGG